GGAUAUAGCUCACAAUCAGUGGUCAGAGUGUUGGACUCGUAAUUUGAAGGCCCAGGUUCGAAUCCUGUACUUUUAUCU